rnacentral:misc_RNA from 1 species
AAGACUAUAGACCUGCGGAGUACCUGCGGAAGGAUCAUCAAAGGAAAAUGGCUUCUCUUACUUAGGGGAGGUGCAAGGGGAGGAGAAAUUCUCUUGUUGCACUUCUCUAAACAAACAAUCGCAACUAGCACAAAUGGAGCGAGUAGUGGGAUGUAGUGUGGUUUGGUUUGGCUUGGUUUGGUGGGGGCGGUAGCAGCAGCAGUCAAAAGUGUUUGCCUGAUAAUCAGAUAGACUGAAAUG